UUAUGGCCAUAUCACAUUGAAACACCAGUUCUCAUACAAUCACCGAAGUUAAGCAACAUCAGGCCCGGUUAGUAUUUAGAUGGGUGACCAUUUGGGAAACCAGGUGCCAU